rnacentral:lncRNA from 1 species
AGUAAGAAAUCGAAUAGGACGUCGAAAAGGACGAAACAGAAAGCUGAGACUUUGCAAGAAUUAUAAAUAAGAUGGCUGAAAAAGUAAACCAUUACAUGAUUACACACAACGGCAUUUCCUUAUCAACCAUAUAUUGACACUUCCCAUCGCGUGAACCCUUACCAGACUACACUUGUUUAAAGGAAGAAAUGAGCAAAGGAUCCUCCAUGGAUCGGCAUGAAUGGAUGUUCCCUUUCUCAGUGGUCCAAGGAAACAAGACUGAAAGCAGGCUUGCAGAAAUAAGAGCAGAUCAAAAUCUGGUGUGGCACGAUGACAAGUAAAGGUAAAAGCAAAGAAGUCAAGCACCGUCAUAAUCCGUCAAGUGCAACACAACAAUGAAAAAUGCAGACUGUGUUCUUUAAAGCAAAAACACUGAUUUAUUUCUCGUCCAAUCUUCAGCGAAGAUUGGUAUAGAUAUGUGUUCAACAAACCCUGUCGGCUUAAUAAGUGAAGAAGUUAUGUACUUUAUGACAAUAAUAGUUUAGUCAAUAAACGAAGCGGACAUUUGCAGCGCUGUUCUACAACGGUACAAAAAGACCAUGCCAGGACGUGUUACUGCCUGUAUCAGCACAAGAAGUGGCAUGAACAUUAUUGCUUCACUAUUAAUUUUGAGAAUAUGUAGAGCUCUUGCAAAUGCGUGAUGUUGGUGUCAGCGUUCAAUUUUGGUAAAGUUUAUAACACACCUAAGCACAAAGUGCUCCGUGUGGGUUAUUGUGGUUUCGCUGUGUCCGUCAGCAAACAAUUGAAACGUUA